AUAUUUCUUACCUCUUCGUUUUUUCUUCACUCAUAUUUUUCCGUGUUUUGGUUUCUUCUGGGCCCAAAUAUUUGUCGUAAUACCUUCCUCUUGAAUCUUGCUAGGUUCUACUCGUCUGUUCUUGUUGUAAUCCAGGUUUCACAGGCAUAUAGCGCUAUUAGACAUAUCAACAUAUCAUUACUUUGUAUAAAGUUAGUUUAAAUCAAAUUGAUACCGGUAUAGAUUUUAAUAUUGUCUUUAAUCUGAAGAAGCACUUUUUAGCUGAGUUUAAUAUAUUUUAUAUAUUUCCUUGUAGUUAUUGCUCAACAUGUUCAAUUCCACUCCUAAAUAUUUGAAGUUUUCGACCCAUUCGAAAUCCAUAUCCCUGACUACCAAACUACUAUAUCAAUUAUUUUUUUGUGACAGUAUUAUUUAUUUUGUUUUUUCUUCAUUUAUAGUUACGUCUAUUUGUUUACUUUCAUUCAUAAAGGCUUUUACCGUACACUGAAGGUUAUUCUCAGAUUUGGACAGUAAUACUAUGUUAUCAGCAUAUGCUAUUAGUUUGAUAGUUUUAGAUUCUUAUAGUUUGAAUCCUAUGCUAAUAUUUAAUGUCUUUCAAACCACUUCCUCCAACACAAUGUGGAAAAGAUUGUGUUGGAGAGAAAGCAUCUCCCUGUUUCAAUCUUGUGUUAAUCCUGAAUUUCUUAUUAUUGCCUGAAACAAUUUCAUUACAAUAAAUUAAAUUUAAAAAUUGUUUUUUUUUUUCUAUAAUGUUUAUUUAAACAAGUCUUAUAACUUUUUAUUUUUUUGAUUAUUACAUAUUUAUUUUAAUAAAUAUUUAAUUUGACCACUGUUUAUACAAAAUAGUUUGAUUUUUUCUCCCUAUCCAUUCCAAUAAAUACAUUUAGCAUUAAUAAUGAUUCUCAGUGAUGUAAUCACAAACAAUGAUUAGUAUUAUUAUUAACCCCCAAAAACAAUGUGAAUACUAAUAUUGGUACUUAAAAUGUAUAGAACUAAUAUGAUUAAAUCAUUAAGGC